rnacentral:lncRNA from 10 species
CUGAGGCUGGUGGAUCACCUAAGGUCAGGAGUCAGACCAGCCUGACCAACAUGGUGAAACCCCAUCUCUACUAAAAAUAGAAAGGUUAGCCGGGUGUGGUGGUGCACACCUAUAGUCUCAGCUGCUCGGGAGGCUGAGACAGGAGAAUCGCUUGAACCGGGGAGGUGGAGGUUGCAGUGAGUUGAGAUUGCACCACAGCACUCUGGCCUGGGCAACAAGAGCAAGACUCCAUCCCCCACAACCCCCCCAAAAAAUAACAGACAAAAGAGAAGCAGUUGGAGCCACGAGGGUACCUUUCUCCUGAGAGAGAUCCAAGUGAGACAGAAGAAGACUAGAGAAGAGAACCAAAGAUUUAUCCAGUGAGAAAUACUUACCAUUCUGGGAGGGAGGAGAAAGAGGGCCCUGGAGGACUUAGAGAGGGUCCCUAGAGAGACAGAGGUAAGAACCUGGACAUUUCUGUGCAGAAGGAGAUGGUUUUGAGGCAGUGGGUGAGGGGUCCGUGCAUCUGAGAAGGUCCGAGUGGGGUGAAUUUUGUGUGGACUUCAUCUUCGACGACACUUGUUUCAUUGCGAAGGCCACUGUUUGCUUCCUCCCUGCAUUUGCCAAGACAUCUAACAUAUCCUGAUAUUGCUUUUUCAGGUCAGAAUGAAGGAACGAUUUCCGUAGUUGAAGGAGAAACAUUGUAUGUCAUAGAGGAAGACAAAGGCGAUGGCUGGACCCGCAUUCGGAGAAAUGAAGAUGAAGAGGGUUAUGUCCCCACUUCAUAUGUCGAAGUCUGUUUGGACAAAAAUGCCAAAGGUGCUAAGACUUAUAUUUAAUACCAUAAAAAAAAAAAACUUA